CCUGCCAGCUGUUUUGGAACUACAACUCCCACCAGCCCCAACCAGGGGUUGCUGAGGCUGAUGGGAGUUGUAGUUCCAAACAGCUGGAAGG